CCUACGGCAGGCAGCAGUAAGGAAUAUUGCGCAAUGGGCGAAAGCCUGACGCAGCGACGCCGCGUGGGGGAUGAAGGUCUUCGGAUUGUAAACCCCUUUCGGGAGGGAAGAUGGAGCGAGCAAUCGUUCGGACGGUACCUCCAGAAGCAGCCACGGCCAACUUCGUGCCAGCAGCCGCGGUAAU
rnacentral:rRNA from 1 species